rnacentral:rRNA from 1 species
UUGGUGGGGUAAUGGCCUACCAAGGCGACGACGGGUAGCCGGCCUGAGAGGGUGUCCGGCCACACUGGGACUGAGAUACGGUCCAGACUCCUACGGGAGGCAGCAGUGGGGAAUAUUGCACAAUGGGCGCAAGCCUGAUGCAGCGACGCCGCGUGAGGGAUGACGGCCUUCGGGUUGUAAACCUCUUUCAGCAGGGACGAAGCGCAAGUGACGGUACCUGUAGAAGAAGGACCGGCCAACUACGUGCCAGCAGCCGCGGUAAUACGUAGGGUCCGAGCGUUGUCCGGAAUUACUGGGCGUAAAGAGCUCGUAGGUGGUUUGUCGCGUUGUUCGUGAAAACUCACAGCUUAACUGUGGGCGUGCGGGCGAUACGGGCAGACUUGAGUACUGCAGGGGAGACUGGAAUUCCUGGUGUAGCGGUGGAAUGCGCAGAUAUCAGGAGGAACACCGGUGGCGAAGGCGGGUCUCUGGGCAGUAACUGACGCUGAGGAGCGAAAGCGUGGGGAGCGAACAGGAUUAGAUACCCUGGUAGUCCACGCCGUAAACGGUGGGUACUAGGUGUGGGUUUCCUUCCUUGGGAUCCGUGCCGUAGCUAACGCAUUAAGUACCCCGCCUGGGGAGUACGG